CUCCAGUUGCUAACACCGCCGUUCUGCCCCACUCGUAAUCAUGUUUCCUUAAUAUCCACCUUUUCAAAUAGUGCCUUUUUUCAGAGUCUCCACCAUUAGCCUUUUCGAGGGAGCCGUCCAUAUCCUGCCAGGACCCUGACCAGUUCAACACUAUAAUUUAGGCAUAGCUGGUGUGGCCGUACAGCAGCACAGUGUGACCCUUUCAUCCCCAGAGUUGCAAGAUGGAUAAGUCCGCCUCCAGGUAUCCAGGCUAGAUUUCAGACUGGAAGAAAUGCAAAAGGCACCAGACGGCUAUUUGCCAGGAACACAAUAGCCUGUUAAGAAGUCACAGACAGCAGGAUGUCUGAGGAGGCGAUCUGUGGAUCAAAUGGACUUGCCACAACCAAAGAUAAAUACAGGAUCACUAUGUCUGUUAGCGAACACACUGGGUCAAGUUGCACUUUCAAACAGAGUCCACAUCCUGGGAGUAAAGAGAAAAGUGGAAUAGCAGAAUGUUCAGCCUGCUCCAAAGAAAAAUGGCACACUUGCUGAAUCGUCCGAGGGAUUCGGGAUAGAAAUAUGUAAGAGAACACCACCAGAGCAGCGGAUAACUCCAUACAAACAGGGCCCAGAUGCUGGACGCCCCCAGCUGAAGAAUGCCGAAGCCCUGGGCGUAGUUUCACCCAUAGAGUUGUACCUAGAGAUCCUCGUAUGGGAAGCAUGCCUCAAGUAAGGAACAGGCGUGAAGUGCUGAUGGCAAUUCCAGUCCUGGCUUCCUCAAGUUGGUGACUCUAGGACUCUUAGGACUCUAACAUUCUUUUUUUUUUUUUUNAUUAUAUUUAUUUAUUUGACAGACAGAUCACAAGUAGGCAGAGAGAGAAAGAGAGAGAGAGGGGAGGAAGCAGGCUCCCUGCUGAGCAGAAAGCCCGAUUCGGGGCUCGAUCCCAGGAUCCUGAGAUCAUGACCUGAGCCGAAGGCAGAGGCUUUAACCCGCUGAGCCACCCAGGCACUCCUGGGACUCUAACAUUCUUAAAAGCCUCAGUUUGCUGAUCUGCAAAUUGGGGUGAACAACAUCUCUGUUCAACUUACCUAGCAGGAAUGUUAUGAGAAGAAAAUGAAAUAGAAGAUGUGAAGAUGCUUUGUCAUUGUUCAAAGUUCUACACAAAGGGAAGCUAUUCCCGAUACUCCCACUCUCCAAGUUCAAGUCUGAAAAAACAAACAAACCCACUAAACCCUUUAGAACUGCACUGUUCAAUACAAUAGCCACUAGGACACUGAUUACUGAGCAUUUAAAAUGUGGCUAGUACAACCGAGGAACUGGAUUUUAAAUUUUACUUAGUGUUAAUGAAUUUAAGUUGAAAACCUGACACUUGAUUCGGUUAUUUGCAAACUUAUAAGUAUGCUUGGAACAACCUGAAUAUGUGAGCCUAAAUUUUAAACUAUAAAUUAUAUGAAAUCUAAAUAUGUAUCAACUGUUUCUGAUGAAAUUUAGUGUUUGAAUUGAGAUGUACCGCAAGUGUAAGAUACACACCAGACUUCAGACUUAUUACAC
rnacentral:lncRNA from 1 species